ACAAUGGACGAAAGUCUGAUGGAGCAACGCCGCGUGAACGAUGAAGGCCUUCGGGUCGUAAAGUUCUGUUGUAAGGGAAGAACAAGUGCCGCAGGCAAUGGCGGCACCUUGACGGUACCUUGCGAGAAAGCCACGGCUAACUACGUGCCAGCAGCCGCGGUAAUACGUAGGUGGCAAGCGUUGUCCGGAAUUAUUGGGCGUAAAGCGCGCGCAGGCGGCCUCUUAAGUCUGAUGUGAAAGCCCCCGGCUCAACCGGGGAGGGCCAUUGGAAACUGGGAGGCUUGAGUAUAGGAGAGAAGAGUGGAAUUCCACGUGUAGCGGUGAAAUGCGUAGAGAUGUGGAGGAACACCAGUGGCGAAGGCGACUCUUUGGCCUAUAACUGACGCUGAGGCGCGAAAGCGUGGGGAGCAAACAGGAUUAGAUACCCUGGUAGUCCACGCCGUAAACGAUGAGUGCUAGGUGUUGGAGGGUUUCCGCCCUUCAGUGCUGAAGCUAACGCAUUAAGCACUCCGCCUGGG
rnacentral:rRNA from 1 species